ACAAAUGGUUGAUUGCUGCUUAGUCGAUAAGUAGAGGAAAGUCCGCACUAGCACAUUCUGAAAUGAAUGUAGUGUUUGUAUUAAUGCUAAUAAUAUUAAGUAUUUAUGUAAAAAUAAAUAACGGCUGUAUGUUUUGGUCUGUUUAAUAGAUAACAACAUGCUAUAAAAGUUCCACAGUGACGAUGCCAAUAAGUAAUUAUUGGAGUGAAACGUUGGUAAACCCUGCAAGCUAGAAACUCAAAUUUUGGUCGAGGAAUUGUUCAAUUUAGAAUAAAAAUGAGUUGAACAAACACAUUUAAUGUGUAGAUAAAUAAUCAACCCUUAAUUUUAUUAAGGACAGAAUGCGGCUUAUAUUU
rnacentral:RNase_P_RNA from 1 species